UGCGAUGAGUCGAGAGAUCACGCAACUUCGGUUGUUCGCGCAAUCGAUUUAAGUGAUGUUUUGAGCGGGACACAUUUUCUGCACGGAUUUGCAGGUGUUUGGUUCUAGAGGAUUGUGGAAUCC
rnacentral:ncRNA from 1 species